rnacentral:rRNA from 1 species
GGUCCUAUGGAUUGUAAACUGCUUUUAUACAGGAAGAAACCCUACCUCGUGAGGUAGCUUGACGGUACUGUAAGAAUAAGGAUCGGCUAACUCCGUGCCAGCAGCCGCGGUAAUACGGAGGAUCCAAGCGUUAUCCGGAAUCAUUGGGUUUAAAGGGUCCGUAGGCGGUUUAGUAAGUCAGUGGUGAAAGCCCAUCGCUCAACGGUGGAACGGCCAUUGAUACUGCUAGACUUGAAUUAUUAGGAAGUAACUAGAAUAUGUAGUGUAGCGGUGAAAUGCUUAGAGAUUACAUGGAAUACCAAUUGCGAAGGCAGGUUACUACUAAUUGAUUGACGCUGAUGGACGAAAGCGUGGGUAGCGAACAGGAUUAGAUACCCUGGUAGUCCACGCCGUAAACGAUGGAUACUAGCUGUUGGGAGCAAUUUCAGUGGCUAAGCGAAAGUGAUAAGUAUCCCACCUGGGGAGUACGUUCGCAAGAAUGAAACU